GCUGGGCGUGGUGGUGCACACCUGUAAUCCCAGCUACUCAGGAGGCUGAGGCACGAGAAUUGCUUGAACCCAGGAGGCGGAGGUUGCAGUGAGCAGAGAUCCUGCCACUGCACUCCAGCCUGGAUGACAGAGCAAGACUCUGCCUCAA
rnacentral:SRP_RNA from 2 species